UACGGGGGGAGCAAGCGUUGUUCGGAUUUACUGGGCGUAAAGGGCGCGUAGGCGGCCAGCACAAGUCAGUUGUGAAAUCUCCGGGCUUAACUCGGAAAGGUCGACUGAUACUGUGCGGCUAGAGUGCAGAAGGGGCAACUGGAAUUCUCGGUGUAGCGGUGAAAUGCGUAGAUAUCGAGAGGAACACCUGCGGCGAAGGCGGGUUGCUGGGCUGACACUGACGCUGAUGCGCGAAAGCCAGGGGAGCGAACGGG
rnacentral:rRNA from 1 species